rnacentral:rRNA from 1 species
AGAGUUUGAUCCUGGCUCAGAUUGAACGCUGGCGGCAUGCCUUACACAUGCAAGUCGAACGGCAGCACGGAGCUUGCUCUGGUGGCGAGUGGCGAGCGGGUGAGUAAAGCCUAGGAAUCUGCCUGGUAGUGGGGGAUAACGUUCGGAAACGGACGCUAAUACCGCAUACGUCCUACGGGAGAAAGCAGGGGACCUUCGGGCCUUGCGCUAUCAGAUGAGCCUAGGUCGGAUUAGCUAGUUGGUGAGGUAAUGGCUCACCAAGGCGACGAUCCGUAACUGGUCUGAGAGGAUGAUCAGUCACACUGGAACUGAGACACGGUCCAGACUCCUACGGGAGGCAGCAGUGGGGAAUAUUGGACAAUGGGCGAAAGCCUGAUCCAGCCAUGCCGCGUGUGUGAAGAAGGUCUUCGGAUUGUAAAGCACUUUAAGUUGGGAGGAAGGGCAUUAACCUAAUACGUUAGUGUUUUGACGUUACCGACAGAAUAAGCACCGGCUAACUCUGUGCCAGCAGCCGCGGUAAUACAGAGGGUGCAAGCGUUAAUCGGAAUUACUGGGCGUAAAGCGCGCGUAGGUGGUUUGUUAAGUUGGAUGUGAAAUCCCCGGGCUCAACCUGGGAACUGCAUUCAAAACUGACUGACUAGAGUAUGGUAGAGGGUGGUGGAAUUUCCUGUGUAGCGGUGAAAUGCGUAGAUAUAGGAAGGAACACCAGUGGCGAAGGCGACCACCUGGACUAAUACUGACACUGAGGUGCGAAAGCGUGGGGAGCAAACAGGAUUAGAUACCCUGGUAGUCC